rnacentral:rRNA from 1 species
UACAGAGGUCUCAAGCGUUGUUCGGAUUUACUGGGCGUAAAGGGCUCGUAGGCGGCCAACUAAGUUCAUACGUGAAAUCCCUCGGCUUAACCGGGGAACUGCGUCUGAUACUGGAUGGCUUGAGAUUGGGAGAGGGAUGCGGAAUUCCAGGUGUAGCGGUGAAAUGCGUAGAUAUCUGGAGGAACACCGGUGGCGAAGGCGGCAUCCUGGACCGGCAUUGACGCUGAGGAGCGAAAGCUAGGGGAGCAAACGGG